ACCUUUCUUUCUUAAUUCACUCAUUAAAUAAUUUUGUUGUGAUUUGCAAGGUAGUUUCAAAAUAUAUAUACACAAAUCAACACUUGAAUAGUCAUUUUUAAAAGUAUUUUUUGAAAUUAGGAGAGAAUAAUUAAUUAACUAUUUAAUAGUUGCAUAUUCGUGGGAAUAUGGUCAUUGGUCAAACAUACACACAGUGAUACUACACUAGCCAGUUUAUUAUUUCUCUAUGCUUCUUCAUAAGCUGCAAAGUUUUCAAAAUAGCAAGAAACAUCGUAUAAAUAUAUCUUACCAAGGAAAAACUAUAAGGAUUAAAGAUGAGGCUGAGUUAAUGAAAUGGAUGAUGUAGAAAGCAAAUCAAGAUAUUGACGCGCCUCAAUUUGACGACAUGGCUAUAAAAAAUCAUCAUAUCAUAUCAGCCAUGUAGUUUGAUUGAGCCGCGUCAAUAUCUUGUUUCCAUCUCCAAAUUUUCCAAUCUCAUCAAGCCUCAUAAACAAGGGAUAUAGAAAAUUGGGGAUGGAUUUUAGCAUUGUAGAAAAAUGAUAUAUACUUCAUGCAUGAUGUCAAAAUGAAAAAGAGUGACAGAGACUGGUUGUAGAGAGGGGACAAGCAGAAUUAAUGAAGGGAAUCCUUCGUUUUCAAGAACUGCUGUAGCUAAAAUCUUGAUGCAAACUGGAAUGGGACCUAUUAAUUACUCUUUAAUUUUCUGGGUUUGCAUUAAUUUCUAUGCCAUAAUAGGUUGUGUCCUCAUGCAUGUUGCUAGACAGUAGCUAGGCCAGGUCUUGUAAUAUGUUUUUUUUUUCUUUCAUUCAAAUUGUUUUUAAAGGGAUGGACACUCUACAAGUCUAUUUCGUACUAGCUUAUAGUACAAUAUCUAUUAAACCUGCUAUGGUUAAAUUCAAUCUAUUAAACCUGCUAUGGUUAAAUUCGAAGAGCUUUCCUAAUUUGACACCAUUUUUCAA